UACAGAGACUGCAAGCGUUAUUCGGAUUCACUGGGCGUAAAGGGUGCGCAGGCGGCCGAGUGUGUGAGGCGUGAAAGCCCGGGGCUUAACCCCGGAAGUGCACCUCAAACUACACGGCUAGAGCAUUGGAGAGGGUAGCAGAAUUCAUGGUGUAGCAGUGAAAUGCGUAGAUAUCAUGAGGAAUACCAGAGGCGAAGGCGGCUACCUGGACAAUUGCUGACGCUCAGGCACGAAAGCGUGGGGAGCAAAAGGG
rnacentral:rRNA from 1 species